AGCCCUGCAGGCUGCUCCACGUCCGGUAAUGGACACAUACUCCUCUGGGGAAGAACUGGUUAUUAAGGCAAGAAAACCAUAUACAAUAACUAAGCAACGGGAGAGAUGGACGGAGGACGAGCAUAAUAAGUUUCUAGAAGCCUUGAAGCUUUAUGGAUGAGCAUGGCAGCGGAUAGAAGAACAUAUAGGAACAAAGACUGCUGUGCAGAUCAGAAGUCAUGCACAGAAAUUCUUUUCAAAGGUCAAUUGCUACCUUCUCACCUUAUGCUUGUA